rnacentral:rRNA from 1 species
GAGGAAUAUUGGUCAAUGGACGAGAGUCUGAACCAGCCAAGUAGCGUGAAGGAUGACUGCCCUAUGGGUUGUAAACUUCUUUUAUACGGGAAUAAAGUGAGGCACGUGUGCCUUUUUGUAUGUACCGUAUGAAUAAGGAUCGGCUAACUCCGUGCCAGCAGCCGCGGUAAUACGGAGGAUCCGAGCGUUAUCCGGAUUUAUUGGGUUUAAAGGGAGCGUAGGCGGACGCUUAAGUCAGUUGUGAAAGUUUGCGGCUCAACCGUAAAAUUGCAGUUGAUACUGGGUGUCUUGAGUACAGUAGAGGCAGGCGGAAUUCGUGGUGUAGCGGUGAAAUGCUUAGAUAUCACGAAGAACUCCGAUUGCGAAGGCAGCUUGCUGGACUGUAACUGACGCUGAUGCUCGAAAGUGUGGGUAUCAAACAGGAUUAGAUACCCUGGUAGUCCACACAGUAAACGAUGAAUACUCGCUGUUUGCGAUAUACAGUAAGCGGCCAAGCGAAAGCGUUAAGUAUUCCACCUGGGGAGUACGCCGGCAACGGUGAAACUCAAAGGAAUUGACGGGGGCCCGCACAAGCGGAGGAACAUGUGGUUUAAUUCGAUGAUACGCGAGGAACCUUACCCGGGCUUGAAUUGCAACUGAAUGAUGUGGAGACAUGUCAGCCGCAAGGCAGUUGUGAAGGUGCUGCAUGGUUGUCGUCAGCUCGUGCCGUGAGGUGUCGGCUUAAGUGCCAUAACGAGCGCAACCCUUAUCGAUAGUUACCAUCAGGUUAUGCUGGGGACUCUGUCGAGACUGCCGUCGUAAGAUGUGAGGAAGGUGGGGAUGACGUCAAAUCAGCACGGUCCUUACGUCCGGGGCUACACACGUGUUACAAUGGGGGGUACAGAAGGCAGCUACACGGCGACGUGAUGCUAAUCCCGAAAGCCUCUCUCAGUUCGGAUUGGAGUCUGCAACCCGACUCCAUGAAGCUGGAUUCGCUAGUAAUCGCGCAUCAGCCACGGCGCGGUGAAUACGUUCCCG